UUCGGGUCACCAUGAAAUUUUAAUUAGAGUUUGGGUCACGAAACCAUUGUUGACCGUCUUGACUGUUAGGAAAGUUUGUUAAAUUCUGAAAUGACCAAAUAUCUAUUAAACUUCGAAUUAUUUACUAACCCUGCCAUAUUACUUUCCGUUAAAUUGGUGUAUGGUUGGGAUUUCUUAAAGAUUUGGUGUUAUGUGUCUAAGGAAGUAAAUAGAUCUAGUUUUUCCACCACCACUCAAUUAAAGUCGUCGUCUUACCCCAAUUGAAACAACGAAGUUGCAGACGCGAGAAAGAAAUGCUGAGAGAGAUGAUCCACAAUUGAAUCGCCCUUAGUUUUAUUUGGAUUUAUGGUUGUUUUGGUUAGCCAUAGUGGAAGAAAAAGAAGGGAAAUUGAAGAAACUACACGAUGGUUUUAUUCUCCAUCACAGCUGAAGAUGAAGGUUAAAUCGAGAAACUAUGGUUCGUCAAAAACGGUGGACAAAUCAUCUGAGGAGGUGGAUGUUGAGAUUGCCGCACAAGGAGUUAUCGGUGAAAGAGUUAUUGACAUAUUUUCAAUUGGUUCACUUGCUGUUAAUUGAAAGAUGCCAGAGAGUGUAGUAAGUCGGCAUAAUUGGCUGUAGUGAACAUAAUUUGCUGGUUGGUAACUUGCAUCAUCUUCACACUCUCAUUGCAUAUAUGACACAUCCUUGCAAUAAAAAUAGAGAAAUUCACUUGUAUGGUUGUAUGAAUGUAAGUUGCAGAUGUGCAUAAAUAGGUUUAUAAAUGUAAGU